AACAUUUUAACCCAUAACAUGCUUGAUAUUUUAGAUAUUUUAACUCUGGUACCAGUCGAAGACAGUCUUCAAUUGCACAUCACAUGUGGUGCGGGCUCAGUCCCAAUACAUAGGGUGACACCCGCACGUGCCUAUCAAAGCACUCAUCAUAUGAGCCCCCAGGUGGAGAGCCACGCUUUGUCACAUGAUCACGCGUGAGAGUUUCCGGAAAUCGGAUAGUCUCCGCUAAUCCUUUGCUUUGACACCAAAUAUCACAAAGCCCUCAGAUCCCGAGGAUUGUGUGAUUCGAAUAAAUAUGCAUAAACCACAACUUCUUGUGAUUUGAAGAUUGAGAUCAUAUCUCAACCGUAAAAGAGAUCAGGUCUCUUACCUUUAGAAGGAGGUUCCUUCAAGGAUGCUUCGUAGCCGCACAAGCGUUCAGCCUCGAUGACUCGUCCACGCGAAGCUCCGGAAUGAUCAGCUUUCCGGGGAGUGCUAGCUCGCAGGAAGGCAGAAGGUUGGCUGAAAUGGAGAAGAAAGAAGAUGGACCUUCACAGCUCAAGAACUCCUUAUUGGGCUUUCACCUUUAGAGCUACUCUCUCCUCUCACUCUCUUUCUCUGGU
rnacentral:lncRNA from 1 species